rnacentral:rRNA from 1 species
CGAUGAUGCCCAGCUUGCUGGGCGGAUUAGUGGCGAACGGGUGAGUAAUACGUGAGUAACCUGCCCCUGACUCUGGGAUAAGCCUGGGAAACCGGGUCUAAUACUGGAUACGACCUCCCGCCGCAUGGUGGGGGGUGGAAAGGGUUUACUGGUUUUGGAUGGGCUCACGGCCUAUCAGCUUGUUGGUGGGGUAAUGGCUCACCAAGGCGACGACGGGUAGCCGGCCUGAGAGGGUGACCGGCCACACUGGGACUGAGACACGGCCCAGACUCCUACGGGAGGCAGCAGUGGGGAAUAUUGCACAAUGGGCGAAAGCCUGAUGCAGCGACGCCGCGUGAGGGAUGACGGCCUUCGGGUUGUAAACCUCUUUCAGUAGGGAAGAAGCGCAAGUGACGGUACCUGCAGAAGAAGCGCCGGCUAACUACGUGCCAGCAGCCGCGGUAAUACGUAGGGCGCAAGCGUUGUCCGGAAUUAUUGGGCGUAAAGAGCUCGUAGGCGGUUUGUCGCGUCCGCUGUGAAAGCCCGGGGCUCAACCCCGGGUCGGCAGUGGGUACGGGCAGACUAGAGUGCAGUAGGGGAGACUGGAAUUCCUGGUGUAGCGGUGAAAUGCGCAGAUAUCAGGAGGAACACCGAUGGCGAAGGCAGGUCUCUGGGCUGUUACUGACGCUGAGGAGCGAAAGCAUGGGGAGCGAACAGGAUUAGAUACCCUGGUAGUCCAUGCCGUAAACGUUGGGCACUAGGUGUGGGGGACAUUCCACGUCCUCCGCGCCGUAGCUAACGCAUUAAGUGCCCCGCCUGGGGAGUAC